ensembl:lncRNA
UGACAGUUCAGAUGUGGUGGAGCCUUUGCCUGGUGACACAUGGAGAUAAUAACCGUGGCAGUGACUCAAGAGUCAAAUACCAACAUUUUUCACAAAGCCAUGGUGGAAGAAGUCAUACAUUGUCACUUUAAUCACCUUCUAAACCUCGGGUAUGUCGUUUUUUUGUGGAGAAGAAAAGUCUCCACUGCUGUGGAAGACGACCGGCAAGCAGAAGUUGGAAACAUGGGAGGAGGAAUCCACCUUGUGGCCAACCGGGGGAAUCGUCCAAAUUCUGUCUUAGUCCUACUGGGCGAUUUGAUUCUAGUCCUGAGGUAUGUGCUCUCUUAGCUCUACAGUGUAGUCCACCUCGUCUUUGAAACAUCCGGAUGCAUUUCACAAUUGUUCAUACUUCCAUUUGGCGUUUUGGGGGUGAACCAAUCAGCACCACGGAGAGCUCCUGCAUCCCUCUGUCGUCAUGGGCAACGCCCCGGUUGUGACCUUCGAGCUGGCACCACACUUCAUUUGAUAUUGAUGUAGACCUUUCUUUCAACAACAAAUCAAACGGCACCACAUUGAAUAGAUUAUCUAUAUAUAUUUCUUCGAGUUGGCCCACUAAGGCAAAAACAGAGAAGUUAUUUCCAGUCGCUUAGCAACCUGGUUACCUGGUCAACUGUCUCUCCUUUGUAACGAUGCCAUUCCACACGUCACACCCGCGCGCGCACUUAUGCGUUACAUUUACCGC